GACGAGGGGUCCAAGCGUUGUUCGGAAUCAUUGGGCGUAAAGCGGGUGUAGGUGGCUCUGUAAGUCAGGAGUGAAAGCCCCAGGCUUAACCUGGGAAGUGCUUUUGAUACUGCAGAGCUUGAAUGUGGGAGAGGAUGGUGGAAUUCCUGGUGUAGUGGUGAAAUACGUAGAUAUCAGGAGGAACUCCGGUGGCGAAGGCGGCCAUCUGGCCCAACAUUGACACUGAGACCCGAAAGCGUGGAGAUCAAACAGG
rnacentral:rRNA from 1 species